rnacentral:sRNA from 1 species
ACCACAAUAACAGGCGGAGGGUCGGCGUAGGUACUUUGAACUCAAGUAAACAAAAGGGAAGAUUUUCUCGUUGAUACUGGAGACUGCACAACAAUGGGGCCACGAAAGAAAAGUGUGAAAACAUGUAUCAUGAAUAAUGAAAUUCCAGAAGAAAUGACAGCAGAUGAAACAAAGGACUAUAUGAAUCAACUUUCACAUGAAGUACUUUGCCAUAUUUUUAGACCAUUCAAGAUGGACUCGAUUGGUUGAUAUCAACCUAGUACGGUGCCAUGCUUUGAAGCUGGACUCUUUUGGCCAGUUUAUUGAAUUAUUACCCAGCCUAGAGUUUAUUUCACUGGAUCAGAUGUUUCGUGAACCACCCAAGGGUUGUGCUCGAGUUGGUCUGAGUGCAGGCACAGGAAUUGGUGUUUCAUCAGCUCUUGUUAGCAACCAGAACUCCAACAAUGACGAUAAUAAUGCCCAGAAUAACAAUGCCAACAUCCACGACAACAAUCACCAUCACCCAGAUGACUCA